rnacentral:rRNA from 1 species
UACGGAGGGUGCAAGCGUUAUCCGGAUUCACUGGGUUUAAAGGGUGCGUAGGCGGAUUGGUAAGUCCGUGGUGAAAUCUCUAAGCUUAACUUGGAAACUGCCAUGGAUACUAUUAGUCUUGAAUAUUGUGGAGGUUAGCGGAAUAUGUCAUGUAGCGGUGAAAUGCGUAGAUAUGACAUAGAACACCAAUUGCGAAGGCAGCUGGCUACACAAAUAUUGACGCUGAUGCACGAAAGCGUGGGGAUCAAACAGG